GGGAAGGGGAGGGGAAGAGAGAGGGGGAAAGGGGAAGUGGAGGAUGAGAGGAAAGAAUCAAGGUCAGUAAUAAGGUCAGGGGGUUGCGGGAAGGGUCGAGGUCAGUAAGGUCAGGGGUUGAGGGGAAGGGGGAGGGGAAAGGGUGACGGGAAGGGAGCAAAAUCAGAAAUAAGGUCAGAGGGCUCAAACAAGGUCAGUAAUAAGGUCAGGGUGUAAUAGGGGGUUGCGGGAAGGGUCGAGGUCAGUAAGGUCAGGGGUUGAGGGGAAGGGGGAGGAGAAAGGGUGACGGGAAGGGAGUAAGGUCAGAAACAAGGUCAUUAACAAGGUCAGAAUACAAGUGCAAGAGUUCAAGGCCGAGUAUGUCCUCAACUCGACUCG